UGGGAAUGGCUUUGCCAUUGGGAUGUUCACAGCCGUGCCCCAGAUCUUGGGAAAGCUUUUGAUUGGACCUGCCUGCUCCAGCCCCUCUGUCUGCGCCAUGAGAAGCGGUCCCCACCCUGGGCGGGGGUCCCCCACGGAACACGCGGGACGUGUAGAGCAGGCCACCCAGAAAAGCCACUCUAAGAUCCGCUGAUGUCGGGCUUGUGAGAAACCCCCUUUGUGUGUUGUUUGCGGCUACUGGGUUUUGGCGACUCCAUUACGGGACUUAAAUGAGUUGUCAACCCAACGGGUGUCAGGAUGGACGUGGCGCUUCUCCGGUGCCCCGUCCAGUCCGUUUUCCUUUCAUGCCUCCACUCGGGGAAUGCCACCUUUAAAUGUCGGAUUCAGGCACAGAGAGGAAAAGGGAUGACGGAGGAGUGCCGCGAGGCGUAUUAUCUGCAGCGCCCUGGCUUGUUCAGUUAACCACACCCUGCUUCCUUCCCCUGCCCAGGGCUGUUCUGGUUCCUGAGACAGGAGAGAAAGCCGGGAGGGCCAGGCCGGGGAUGAACUAGCCGCUGGGGAGUGAAAGCCGCACACUUCUUGGAACUCAGGAGCCCGUGAAGGGCCGGAAUGGAGAGCAGGCGAGACAAUUGGGAGAAAUGCCCUGGGGAAGGCGCUGCAGCCUCCCCUGCAGCUGGGCGCCCAGUUCAUGGUACCUUGUUUAGCAGCCCAAACGGACCAAGGCAGAUGAUGCGCUCCCAGCGACCGCGUGGACACCCACGGGAAGGCUAUGCAGCUUCCACAUAAAACACGGAGCUGCCUCUCCUUAGCAGCCCUCCUCACAGUUGCAGACAUCUGGAACCCGCUCCAAUUCUCACUGGCAAGGGAACGAAUGAAUACACGGUGUUGUGGUCAUACAACGGAAUACUACACACCAGGGAAAAUUCUACCAUCUACAGUCACGCAAAAAAUGCAGCAGCAUGGGUCUUCACACAGAACACCAGGGGAAGUAUGCGAACUGUGCGAUAUAACUCACACCGAAUGAUCACACUUGUAUAAAGUCCCAAAACAGGUAAUAUACCAAGUUACAAGUCAGGAGCGUAGACAGAUGCCUCUGCGUGGACAGUGCCCGGAAGGCCUCCUAAGCUGUGCUCCUCCAAUGCUGGUCCCUGGACCAAGGGGAUCCAUAUUUGGACCUGAAAGAGGACUGAGCAUCUUCUGGAAAUCCUGAACAUUGAGCUGGAUGGGACCUUGGUUGUCUCUCCUGGUAAGCCUAUCCUGACAAAUUAGAACAUCAGAUUAUUCCCUUUGUAAACAUCACCCACUCAUCCAAAGAGGUGUUAUCAUUACGACCGUAUUGCUACUGUGUGUGUGAAAACACAUCUGUGAGAAGUGUCUACGGUGCACCUGACGGGAUUUCUUUUGACAGGCUCUUUUAACUUGCUACGUGAGACCAAGGUAGAAGCAGUGUCCUGGAAAUGAAAAGCAGGUGCCUGGGACGCAAAGGAGGCUUUGAUUGGAGGUGGCUUCAAAGAGUGCUCUGCACAAAUGAUGCCCUGUUCUCUGCCCUGCUUUCUGUCCUCACAUUUAAACACUGAAUGCUUGGGUGGCACCUCUCGACCCAGAUAUGCCUUGACACAUGGGAAGGUGGCUCUUCAAAGUUACCGGGUCAAAAACAUCCAAUUCAAGGAGUGUCUGACACUGUUCUUUUAUUCAAUAUCGUUUUGGUGAAUUGAAUUGGUAAAGAAAGAAAAUAAUACUCAUGGACUUGAAUCCAAUCAGCUCUGUAUUGCAGCAAAAUAACUUUCCAGUUAAUCCGUUACCAUUUUGUGUGCUUGCCUCUGCCUGGAUUUGGCCAUAGACUUUACAAUCAGGGAUUUGGGGGGUUAUAUUUUAAUUAUGGCCAUAAAAUUAUUUAGUUUUUGGUUUUAGGAAAUAAAAAUAGCUUCAAGGUGAGUUUUGGCUGUCUCGACCUUUCAUGUGAGCUGUCCAAGGGAAAUAGACAACUUUCUGGAUUCACCUUAACAUCAUUCCUACUAGUCGUUAGCAUCUUUAGCAGACUUUCCUGAAACUUUGAAGUCAGUGUGUGUUUGUGCACACACACGUGUGUCUCUGUGUACAGACUGUGUCACAUUACUGUGGAGCAACAAUGCAAUUUAAAACAAAAAAUUGUGGCAGUUCUGGUUGUGGGUAAAAUGGAGUAAGCACACUCCACCCUGUCUCUCCCACUGAAGAAAGAAAGAAAAAAAAAAAACCACAGGCAGGAUGUAUGGAACAGCCAUUUGAUGAUUCAGAAAAGUAAACAGUAGCAGGCAGAUUGGAAAAUAAAUGUCAGUAUUAAAAGUACUGAAUACCGAAUUCAAUAUCACCUGCAGGCAUUGAGUUCCCCACUCUGGACUCCUGCACCCUGAACUCAGUACAUCCUGGAACCCCAAAGUGUCCACCUGAGUACAGACAGAGAGAACCCCAGGAGCACCGUCUAGUUAGACAAGGUGCUUAUGGAAACUCAGAAGGGUGAUGAAAUUGUUCACUUCCCCUUUUCUCUUUACGCUGUUCUCCCAUGCUCCCAAGCAAUACAGUGGUGGCAAGACAGCAGCUGCCACAGGAGUCCCUAGGAGCCAAAACUACCUAGGAGGGAUGCCUUCCUCUCCUGUGAAAGAAACUGUGCUCUCAGGAGGGUGGGGAAAACCCUCUUUGCUUUUCUUCUCUUUGUCUGCUCCUCCUGCUUGGCUUAAUCUGUGAGAGCAGUUGCAGGAAUGGGUGGUGGAGUGGGAUAACUGGCUGAGGAAUAAAGAGAAAGCUGAAAUGUACCAAGAAGCUUGUGGAGAGGCAGGAGCUUGGGAAAGUGACCUCAGGGCUGUUUGUCAAUGCCUGGACUCCUACUCAAGACGUGCCUAUGUAUAUCUGAUCUUAAAUGGUAUAUGUAGAUAUUGAGAACUGAGCUGUAAAAUAGUCUAUUCUUCAAAUAUCAGACUUGCUACUGGGUGCUGAACACAUGGAAUACAUUAAAUAGCUUUGCAAAAUUUUUGAAAAUGAAACUGAUCCUUGAGCCACAACCAACCAAAACCUGUUGGAACUGCAGGCCUGAAUUCAGCUGAGGCAAUUGCUAACGAAAACAAAAACAUCAACAUUUUUGAUGUUUAAAUAGGAUUUAAACACAACUCAGCUUAUCAUAAUGAAAUAUGCAGAACAUCCAGGAUAUAGCCCAAAAUUACUCAGUAUAAAAAGAACCAAGAAAAUCACAAUUUACAAGAAAAUAAACAACAGAUGGCAAUACUAUCAUGAAGCAGAUGUUGGACAUAUCUAACAAAAGCUGUAAAACAGCUAUUAUAAAUAUGCCCCAACAAGUAAGCAUAAACAUUCUUGAAACAAAUGGAAAAGAGGCAACCACAACAAAGAACCAGAAGAUAUAAAGAAGAACCAGAUAACAAUUUUAUAACUUAAAACGAUGAUAACCCAAGUUAUCCACUAAGUAGGAUCAAUAGGAGGCUGGAGAUGACCAAGAAUAGAGUAAUAGAAAUUAACCAAUGUGAAAAAGAGAGGAAAAAAAGAUUAAAAAGAAAAGACAUCUACAACCAAAAACAUGAUGAUAAAAAUGCCAACAUUUAAGAAUAAUAGAAAAAUAUUGAUAGCAUCCAGAGAAGAUGCAUGCAUUUCUUUUGGAAUAACAACAAUUUUAUUAACUGUGGAUUUAUAUUCAUAAAUUAUGAAAGGCAGAGGGAGGUGAAACAACAUGUUUAAAGUGCUGAAGAAGAGAACUAUUUAUGAAAAAUGUAAAUACAGUGAAAAUAUCAUUCAAGAAUAAGGUGAAAUCAAGCUAUCCUAAGGUGAAGGAAAACUGAGACUUUAUUUCUUGCAAACUUACUUUAAAAGAAUUUAUAAAGAAAGUUCUUCAGAAAAAAAAAUAAUGCCAGAAGAAAACUUGGAAACUCAGGAAUGAAAAAUUGGCAAUGAAAAUGAUAACUAACUGGCAAGAUACAAUAGACUAUUUUUUCUACUGAGUUAUUUAAACUAGGUUUGACAAUCAAAAGCAAAGUGGUACCAUUUUCUGAUAAGGGUUUCAAUGUAUGUAGAUGUAAUAGUAAGAUGAUUACAACAUAAAGGGGUGAGAGGAAAGAGACCUGUAUAUUAACAAGAUUUCCCCUUUCCACUUUAAGUGGCAAUUUUAAUAUCAGAUAAAUUAUACUUCACAACAAAGAAAACUCCCAGAGAUAAAGAGGAACAAAACAUAAUAAAAUAUCAACCCACCAAGAAUAUAUAACAUCAUAAACUUGAAUGCACCUAAUAAUAGGUCUUAAAAAUGCAUAAAGCAAAAACUGACAGAAAUGAAAUAAGAAAUAUACUGAUUUGGCUGGGCACUGUGACUCACACCUUUAAUCUCAGCACUUUAGGAGGCCAAGGUGGGCAGAUCACCUGAGGUCGGGAGUUCGAAACCAGCCUGACCAACAUGGAGAAACCCUGUCUCUACUAAAAAUACAAAAUUAGCCAUACAUGGUGGUGCAUGCCUGUAAUCCCAGCUACUCUGGAGGCUGAGGCAGGAGAAUCACCUGAACCCAGAAGGCAGAGGUUGCAAUGAGUGGAGAUGGUGCCAUUGCACUCCAGCCUGGGCAACAAGAGUAAAACUCCAUCUCAAAAAAAAAAACAAAAAAAAGAAAGAAAUAGACUGAUUCACACCGUUGGAGACUUCAAUACUCUUCUGUCAGUGGCAAAUAGUGCUAGUAAACAGAAGCUAAGUGAGCUCUAGAAGAAUGUAAAAACUCCAUCAACCAACUGAAUCUAAUUGUUAUGUAUAGAAUACUUCACUACUGGUGGCAGAAUAAACAUACUUUAAAGGGCACAAGGUGCAAAAUAAGCCAAAUCCUGGAUCAGAAAAAAUAAAUGUAUUUUUAAUUUAUCACAAAAUAGAUUUUAUUUAUCACAAAGCAUCUUCUGUAUCCAUAAUGGAAUUAGGCUAGAAAUGAAUAACGUAAGGUAAUAUGAAACUCAUCAAACACAUAAAAAUUAAAGCACGUAUUAUUAAAGAAACCAUGAGUCACAGAGGAAAACUUUUGAGAAAUUAAAAAAAUUGUGAACUGAAUGAAAAUUAAAAUGCAACACAUAAAAAAAUUAAAUGCAACACAUGAAUUAAAAUGCAACACAUAAAACUGUGUGGGAAGCAGCCAAAGCAGUGGCUUAGAGUAAAAUGUAUAGCACUGAAAGCUGACAUUACAUAAGAAUGGGCAAAAAUCAAUAAUUUAAGUUUUCACCUCAUUUUAGAAAAGUAAAAUUAGCAAUGUUAUUACCAUUAAAAUCAGCACACAAGCAUAAUUUUAAAUUAUUACUACUAAUUUUUUGUUCAAAAUUGUUUUUUCAUAUAACAUCCUGUAAACACAUAUCUAUGAACUCUGUGUAGACAUGCUUCCUUGGAUUUUACGGUUUGGCUUCUCAGAUUUCACUGCAUUCAUAUGAACUUCUGAGAAAUAGGACAGACCAGUUAACAGUUUUCUCAACUACAAAAAAGGAUUUUGAACAAUUUUUAGAGUCACUUAUUGAUAAAAUAAUAUAUAGGUAUGUCUUGUGA
rnacentral:lncRNA from 1 species